rnacentral:misc_RNA from 1 species
CAAAGAUUGAGCAUUGGCAUGUGACUUGGGACAAGUCCGUUGAGGCCCCCUUAACU